rnacentral:tRNA from 1 species
GAGGGUAUGGCUCAGGGGCAGAGUGCAUGCUUGGCACGCUAGUUCCUGGGUUCAAUCUCCAGUACCUCCA